UUUUUGCGCCUGUCCCAAGUCAGGAGCCUCUGGCCUUUGUUAGUCUUGUAUUCUUUUAAUUUUAGUUUCUUGUGUACAAUUUGGAAAUUAGUAUGGCGUUCAUUAUCACUGAACUAGUAUAUAUUUGUUUAGGGGCCAGCUGAAGGACGCCUCCGGGUGCGGGAAUUUCUCGCUACAUUGAAGACCUGUUGGUGACCUUCUGCUGUUGUUUUUUUCAAUGGUCGGGUUGUUGUCUCUUUGGCACAUUCCCCAUUUCCAUUCUCAAUUUAAUGAUAUACGUUA
rnacentral:lncRNA from 1 species